rnacentral:lncRNA from 1 species
GAAAGAAAUCAUAUAUUGGAUAAAGCUGUUGGAUUACAAUGGUUGAUAUUACAAGGGAAACAUCAUCGAAAUGUGAUGCAUAACCUAAAUAUUUUCUUGACAGCGAAACUUACAUAAAAAGCAUCCUUCAACAUCCCUACAACUUAACUAAACUUAACCGGGGAACACCAUCCGACAGAAACAUCAUCCCUACAACUUAACUAAAACUGAUAGCAUCCAUCAUCAUCAUCAUGGACCGGAACAUCAUUAUCAUCAUGAAACGGAACAUCAUCAUCAUUGCAAUAUACUUGCCACGCACCAUUAUAAUCAUCCAUAUAUCUUUUGAAUCUACAAAGAAAAUAACAAAAUGAACUGUUAAUACACAAUGCAUUGACAUGAUGAAUGUAGUGAUAGAGGCAGCAGGAUGUUAGGCACGUACGUACAAAGGUUGAAGGCUAUGCAAUCUUCUUUUUUCUGCAUUAUCGAGAGUAUUGCAGCUUUUGCGACUCCGUACCGAAUCUUCAGUUUUCACAAGUGCCAUAUCGACAUGCACUACCAAGAAUUCAUUUGUAAUUUUAGCAUCAUCAAGUUUAAAUUUAGGAUCACAACUUACAACUAUAGCAAGAGCUACGUCCCUAUUAUGAUUGUGAAAAGAUACCGGCAUGAGUGUUAGUUGUCAUUGAUGACUAAUCACGACGCCACAAUAUAUGACACAGC